rnacentral:lncRNA from 1 species
CGCGAUUGGCCAGCGUCGCGUGACGCACGGCCGAGCUCGGCGUCCAUUGGUCCGGCCUGCCCGGCGGGGCGUUUCAGGACCGUGGCUAUGGAGUCCGGCGUGGCAGCGGCAAUCCCUGGCCAAAGUGUGCCUUCAGCCAAAAGCAGAACUGGAAACAUCCUAAGUGGGCCGGUAACGAGGCUAGCUCUGUCGACUAGUUCAAGACCCCUGAGCGCUUUGGGCCUGAGGUUCCUCAGCUUCCAAGUGAAAGGCUUCGACUUGGCAUUCUAAGAGACAAUCUCUGUGACCAUCAGUUUCCUCAUCUGUAAAACUGGCAUCAUGAUAACUUUGAAGAGACAAGAACUUGCUGUGUUGCCCAGGCUGGUCUUGAACUUCUGGCCUCAAGAAGAUCCUCCCACCUCGACCUCUCAAAGUGUUGGUAUUACAGACGUGAGCCACUGGGCCCCACUGUGUUCUGUUCUUAUUGCCCAUGACAAUUAAAGUUAGCUCUAUCUCAUCUCCAUGACCAUCACAAACACAUGCCAUUAAUUUUGCUCACCCAAAUCUCUAUGCUCUGACUUCUGGGCACCUAGUACUGGCUAAUGAGCUGUGAGCUGGGCCAGAGCAUAGAAUAGCUGGUGCGAGACCUUUUGAGAGUUCUAUCUCCCUCUGUCAUGGCAACCAGCCAUAUUCAAAAUGGCAACCAGCAAUAUUCAAAAUGAGGGCUACUGCCAGGCAUGCUGGCUCAUGCCUGUAAUCCCAG